rnacentral:rRNA from 1 species
GUACACGCUGUGACUAGCAUAUCAAUAAGCGGAGGAAAAGAAACUAACAAGGAUUCCCCUAGUAACGGCGAGUGAAGCGGGAAGAGCUCAAAUUUGAAAUCUUAAAGGGUUUCCCUUUACGAAUUGUAGUUUAAAGAAGUGUUUUCUGUUGAGGAUUUUGGUAAAAGUUCUUUGGAAUAGGACAUCAUAGAGGGUGAGAAUCCCGUAUUUGACCUUUACUUUCAACUUUGUGAUACACUUUCAAAGAGUCGGAUUGUUUGGGAAUGCAGUCCAAAAUGGGUGGUAAAUUUCAUCUAAAGCUAAAUAUUGGCGAGAGACCGAUAGCGAACAAGUACCGUGAGGGAAAGAUGAAAAGAACUUUGAAAAGAGAGUUAAACAGUACGUGAAAUUGUCAAAAGGGAAGCGUUUGACACCAGUGUUGUUUUUCUGAAAAUCGAAUUAAAGAACUGUUUAUGCUAAGUUGUUUAGACUUUAUCAGCUAUCUGUUUAGUUUUGAGCUUUUCUUUAAUGCACUUUUCCAGUUAACAAGUCAACAUCAAUUUCUUUUGCUGUAAAAAAGCUUGAGGAAGGUGGCUUGAGAUUCGUCUUAAGUGUUUAUAGCCUCUUGCCUAUGCAGUCGGAGAGAUUGAGGUCUGCAGCGUAGAUCCUUCGGGGCUAAAUGCAUUUGUGCUAAGUUAUAGCAUUUUAUAGACAACUUGUUGACUAUGAUUUGUCUUGUAGCUUACUCGCUUAUGUUAUUUUACCUACGCUUAGGAUGUUGAGUCGUAGAGCACGCAG